rnacentral:tRNA from 1 species
AAGGAUUUAAGUUAAACAAAACUUUUGACCUUCAAAGUCAAAUAUAGACUCUGUCUAAGCCUUA